CAGUAGCCGCGGGAAUACGUAGGUGGCAAGCGUUGUCCGGAAUUGUUGGGCGUAAAGGGCUCGCAGGCGGUUUCUUAAGUCUGAUGUGAAAGCCCCCGGCUCAACCGGGGAGGGUCAUUGGAAACUGGGAAACUUGAGUGCAGAAGAGGAGAGUGGAAUUCCACGUGUAGCGGUGAAAUGCGUAGAGAUGUGGAGGAACACCAGUGGCGAAGGCGACUCUCUGGUCUGUAACUGACGCUGAGGAGCGAAAGCGUGGGGAGCGGACAGGAUUAGAUACCCCUGUAGUCCCUGUCUCUUAUAC
rnacentral:rRNA from 1 species